AAGAGUAAGGGUCUCCUAGGCCCGACCUCCCAACCCUUUGUUUACCAAACCAUUGUUGCUUCGGCGGGCCCGUCUUAGGACCGCCGGAGGACCGUCCAAACGUCCUCUGGCCCGCGCCCGUCGAUGGCCCUUAUCAUUAAACUCUGAACCAAACGUGUCCUGUCUGAGUGAUUAUUAUCAAAAAAUUAAAGCA
rnacentral:misc_RNA from 1 species